CCCACAGAGAAGCUGGUGUAGUGAGAGAUCCAAGAGGACCAGGGAUGCUGCAGUCGACCUGCCUGUGCCAGACGCUACGGGAAUGGCUGGGGCACUGCAGAGAAAAGAUUUUGAGGCAUCCCUGAGAAAGUGUGGCUUCGCUUCUUCCCACCUGCCGGCGGUUCUGUGGAGCCUGCCUGGAGACCAGCUUUAUUUAGGCUAGCUGAGCACGUUUCUCCUGAUUUACCUCAAUUUUUCGGUUUAGGUCAAUUCAAUUUAACUCAGACUAGGGAGGGCGAAGAAUACCAAGAAAUUCUGCACACUCUCAAGCCCCACACAUCUCCCUCGUCUGCACUUGCCCCUCAAAGCAGAAAACGGAGAGCUAGCUAUUUCCAAGGCUGCUCGCGUGAAAUCUGUGAGAUUAAAAAGCCUGUUAAAUUUAUUACUAAAUCUUCAACUCUCGUUUUUAUUCAACGCAUUAAAUAUUUAAGCCACU